rnacentral:rRNA from 1 species
UACGUAGGGUGCGAGCGUUGUCCGGAAUUAUGGGGCGUAAAGGGCUCGUAGGCGGUUUGUCGCGUCGGGAGUGAAAACUCAGGGCUUAACCCUGAGCCUGCUUCCGAUACGGGCAGACUAGAGGUAUGCAGGGGAGAACGGAAUUCCUGGUGUAGCGGUGAAAUGCGCAGAUAUCAGGAGGAACACCGGUGGCGAAGGCGGUUCUCUGGGCAUUACCUGACGCUGAGGAGCGAAAGUGUGGGGAGCGAACAGG